rnacentral:rRNA from 1 species
GAUGAACGCUGACAGAAUGCUUAACACAUCAGCGAUUGCUUGGUGGCGGACGGGUGAGUAACGCGUAGAGAACUUGCCUGACAGCUAGGGACAACAUUUGGAAACGAAUGCUAAUACCUAAUACUGUGAGAGAGCUUUGCGACCCAUUAGCUAUUGGGAGAGGUAACGGCUAACCAAGGCGAUGAUGGGUAGCCGGCCUGAGAGGGUGAUCGGCCACAAGGCGACGGAGACACGGAGCUUAGACCUUCGGGAGGCAGCAGUGGGUAAGAUCGGACAAUGGACCAAAGUCUGAUCCAUUAAUGCUUUGUGAACGAUGAAGUUUUCGGAAUGUAAAGUGCUUUCAGUUGGGAAGGGUUACCAACAGAAGAAGUGACGGCUACAUACGUGCCAGCAGCCGCGUUAAUC